rnacentral:lncRNA from 1 species
CUAGGAUUAGGGCAAGAAAGACUUGGCUAAUGUUAAAAUGGUCCAACAAUCGGGGGGGGGGUUUAUGUAAAUAAUGAUAUACAUUAAGUGCAGUGUUGUGCAGUCAUAAAUGUAGUUAAUAUUAAAACAUGUGGCCACCUGUUACUAUGCGUGCCGAAAGAGAAAACACAACAUGUUUACUUUCCGUGUCACCAAGUGUUCACAAUGAGCAGGGCUCCCAUCCCUCCUCGUCUGUGCAAAAGCAAGAGGACUUUCCUGGAAAGAGGGCUUCCGUGCUGGCAGAGAGUGUGCCGUCUUUGCCUUCCAAGGGGAGGACUCUAGGAAAUUCCCAAUAGGGAACAAUGCGUCUGCUUCAGAGUGUCAACGUGAAAAGCUGCCAUCAGCAAGGAGAAUCUUCCUAAAACAGGUGAGAAAGGGUCUUGGAGAAAAAAUUUUUGUACAACAACAAUGUCUACCCUAUGGUACACCCAAUAUUUGAUAAACAGUGAAAUGUAGGGAAAUAGACCUGAAAAUUCAGGUACAAAGGAAUUGCGACAUUUUUGGAUAAAAAUGCAUUGAACAUCUUGCAAAUACUCAAGAUAGGUCUAACGAGGUAUUUCCCCUGCCUUAAAAAAUCAACCCCAUGUACAUUCUUCUUUUUCUGCCUGUCUCUCUUUCUCACUGUUUUUCUCUCUGUGCAGUGAGAAUCUACAGUGUGCUGAGAAAAAUGUAUCUUUUUCCUGCAGCUGGCUCUGAGCUUGUCUCCUGCAGACAGUGAACGGCCCAGAGAUAAAGCCCAUCCCCACCAGGCCCCACCAGCAAUCUUGUGGAAACAGAGCCCCUGUGUUUGCCUGUGGUGGGGUCUGCCAUGUCUCUCUUUUAGGUGCUUGGCAUGUUGAAAAGAACUGCUGAGUUGGUCAUUGAUGGAGACAUGGCAUUCUUGUACAAGGGGACAGGGAAGACCCCAGGGGACCCUGGGGCUGCCCCCUCUGCAGGUGGCGCUCGCUAGCCAGGAGGCAUGAAGUCACACUCCCCCUGGCUGGGCAGCCUUGCAGGGCUCAGCUUUCAAGGGCCUCAACCCAUUAAUUAAAGAGCCCUCAUGAGCAGAUGCACGGCCUCUGGUCAAGACAGACUUGAACAUUGGUCAAGACAGACUUGAACACGCGGUAACAGGUGCAGAUGAAAGCUGGCACUCGGGGCCUGUGGGUUCCGUUCCUACUUCCUGUCUUGCUCCCUCUUACACAGUCGCCAUGUCUCAACUAAAGAUGCUCUUUGCUUGUCCUAAAGUGGUAGCAUGUGUUGGCUGCACUGGUCUGUGUCUCACUGAAUCCCUGUGUUGCUGAACAUGACUGUGGA